GCCAAACUUCAGUGAGAGACUCUCAUAAUACAGUACGGAACAAUGAAGGAGACAACAGAGUUUCUGAACGCCAGAAGCGUCCCGGAGGAAACCAUAUUCCAAAUGGAAGAACAAAGGUGUCAUGCCUGAAAGACACUGCUGCAUCACCAUUUUCAGUGGGUCUCCAAGGGUCCAGAAGAACAUCCAAGAGGAAAAUGAAAAGACCAAUAAAGGCCAAUAAAAUGAACUGAGAAACUACA